AAAAAUAAGUUGACAUUAUUUACAGAUAUGUUGAAAAAAAUGGUAAAAAGUAGGAAGGUGGAGAAAUCCAAAGUCACAGACUAACUGCUUUGCAUAAAUGAUCACUGCUGAAACAAUGGAGUUAACACAAGCACUAGAGCAGAAGUGUUCAGACCUUUUAACAGCUAAAAAAGGAGUUUUAAAAUCUCAGAUUUAUUUAGCUCUCACCGCAAAGCAUGGAUUCAGUAUCAGACGAAACUCAAGGUUUUGGUCUCAGUAUUGGGCACUCAGCACUCACCUCUCCGGUGUUCCCAACAGGUACCGCUUCAUUCGCCAUCAUCUCUCCGGAGCUUUUCUUCUGAUGCUCGUUACAUGGUUCCGCUAAGGGUUUCAUCUGGUCCAAGUUCAAAACACACGCC